rnacentral:rRNA from 1 species
UGGGGAAUUUUGGACAAUGGGCGCAAGCCUGAUCCAGCAAUGCCGCGUGCAGGAUGAAGGCCUUCGGGUUGUAAACUGCUUUUGUACGGAACGAAACGGCUCUGUCUAAUACAUGGGGCUAAUGACGGUACCGUAAGAAUAAGCACCGGCUAACUACGUGCCAGCAGCCGCGGUAAUACGUAGGGUGCAAGCGUUAAUCGGAAUUACUGGGCGUAAAGCGUGCGCAGGCGGUUUUGUAAGACAGUGGUGAAAUCCCCGGGCUCAACCUGGGAACUGCCAUUGUGACUGCAAAGCUAGAGUGCGGCAGAGGGGGAUGGAAUUCCGCGUGUAGCAGUGAAAUGCGUAGAUAUGCGGAGGAACACCGAUGGCGAAGGCAAUCCCCUGGGCCUGCACUGACGCUCAUGCACGAAAGCGUGGGGAGCGAACA